UCCGUAGGCGGUGUGGCAAGUCGGAAGUGAAAUCUCUGGGCUUAACUCAGAGGCUGCUUCCGAAACUGCCGUGCUAGAGUGCGAGAGAGGCAAGUGGAAUUGCGGGUGUAGCGGUGAAAUGCGUAGAUAUCCACAGGAACAUCCGAGGCGAAAGCGGCUUGCUGGAUCGCAACUGACGCUGAGGGACGAAAGCUAGGGGAGCAAACAGGAUUAGAUACCCUGGUAGUCCUAGCCCUAAACCAUCAGGACUUGGGGUUUGCCCUGUACGGGGCAAGUCCCGUAGCUAACGCGUUAAGUCCUGCGCCUGGGGAGUACGGUCGCAAGGCUGAA
rnacentral:rRNA from 1 species